GCCCAGUGCCGCCCUGGAGCUGGGGUGACAGUGAGGAAGCCACACCUGAGCAGGAGCUGGGAUGCACGUGGAGGCCUCGAGGGGUGCAGGAACGCAGGGUUCGUGAGUGCACCCCAGGAUCAGGCCAGCUGGAGCGAGAGAAAGAGUUUCAGCCAUGAAAUGUCACACCUGGCACACGGCUACACAUGGAGGCGCCCUGUGCCCGCUGGGGACGUGGUGCCCGGACACGGCAGGAAGGAAGUUGGCCCUUGCGAAACAUCUGGCAGGAAAUGUGCCUGGGGCUGGGAUCCUGCAUGCUGUGUGCACAGCAACUGAAGGCGGAGACAAGACACCCAGGGGCAGGAGUCAGCCCACUAGGAGGGCCACUAGGGAGGCCCCGUGUCCAUGAUGCUGGGUCCUGGCCCUGGGGAGAGGAGGGCGGAGC